rnacentral:rRNA from 1 species
GAUGAACGCUAGCGGCAGGCCUAACACAUGCAAGUCGAGGGGCAGCACAGGUAGCAAUACUGGGUGGCGACCGGCGGAUGGGUGCGUAACGCGUAUGCAACCUACCAUUGAUUGGGGCAUAGCCCGAAGAAAUUCGGAUUAAUACUCCAUAAUAUUCAUCAAAGGCAUCUUUUAUGAAUUAAAGCUUUUGCGAUCAAUGAUGGGCAUGCGUGACAUUAGUUAGUUGGUGAGGUAACGGCUCACCAAAACGAUGAUGUCUAGGGGUUCUGAGAGGAUUAUCCCCCACACUGGUACUGAGACACGGACCAGACUCCUACGGGAGGCAGCAGUCGAGAAUAGUCUACAAUGGACGAAAGUCUGAUAGUGCGACGCCGCGUGAACGAAGAAGCCCUUGGGGUGUAAAGUUCUUUUAUAUGUGAGCAAUGCUUCCUAGGUGAAUAGUUUAGGGAGAGAGAUAUUAGCAUAUGAAUAAGCAAC